rnacentral:misc_RNA from 1 species
GGAAGGAUCAUUAGAGGAUUUUAAAAAAAAUACCAUUAAAAAAACCGCUACGGUAGGUGGUCAGUUCUAGCGACCCGUCUGAUCAACGGGUUGUUAUUCUGCUCAUUCCGCCCUAGCCCAUACGUCUCGCUUGGAUGAUUACUCGAUGACACGUCUUGAUCAACCUGUCGUCGUGUAAUCAUUCAUCCAGAUGUCGAUGUCUCGAUUGAUUUGAUUACUUGAUGGCACGUCUUGAUCAACGUGUCGUCGUGUAAUCGUCGUCAAGAUGUCAUAGCCUAAUCGCGCCCUUGACUUGAUUAGUCGUCGACACUUCUGAUCAUUGUGUCGUUGACUCAUCAAAUAUCAAGGUGUCGUAAUCACAUCACGCGUUAUUUUCGGUCCAGUAACGCGUCGGCUACCGAAGCGACUCUUAGCGGGGUCGUUUCGGUGGGAUUGAGAGUGUGCUGCCUUAGCGGGUAGCACUCUCUUGAACUGACCCUAGCUCGCUUUGCACUUUGAUCUGCAGUCCUAGUGCGAAGCGGGCUUAAAAAAAAAAUUACUUUACCAUUACCAAUUACCUUUUAUACAACUUUUAGCGGUGGAUGACUCGGCUUUCGUAUCGAUGAAGAACGUAGCAAAAUGCGAUAACUAAUGGGAAUUGCAGAAUACGUUGACCAUCGAGUUUUUGAAUGCAACCUGCGCCCUUCUCCGUAAGGGGUUAGGGCGUACUUGAUUGAGCUCGGGCAUUAUACGUCUCUGCCUUUAGUAACCCUUAGCGGGGCGAAAGCGGUGGGGGAAGAUGAGGGUGUACUGUAACAGGUACUCCCUUUAAAUACAUAAGGCGUUCGGUUAACGAGCUUGCCCUCUUUAUGCGUCGAAGGACUUCUCUCAUAGUAUAUUGACGUAAAACCAGUAGGUGGGUCUAGCACCCCGUUGUAAGCAAUGUAUUAAGUAACUUUGUAUCCGUUUGACUUGCAAGGCUCCACGUGGGUUUUGAAGUUGGGCGCGGUAGAAACAAAUCUGCUUUUGCAGCGAUUGCGCUACCUACUCGGGUCGAUAUUCUGUGGUGUUAGGGAGGUUCGUUAGGCAGUAAAAUGUGGCGGUCUUGUUACGGGGAGGUGAUGCUCCCAACCAACGGCUACGGCCCCAAUUGCGUGCGGUCCAAAAAUCUGCUACAUUUGCGGUGCCCCCGUUUCGGCGUGGGGUGCUUCCGGUAGUGGAGAAAUGCUCUAGGGAGAAAUUUAUUUUUCUUCCAUAGGGCGACCUUUAAGUACCGACUCAAUCAAGUACGAUUACCCGCUGAAUUUAAGCAUAUUAUUAGGCGGAGGAAAAGAAAAUAACUAUGAUUCCCUCAGUAACGGCGAGUGAACCGGGAAGAGCUCAUCCUGAACCGGUAGGGACUAAACUUCUUAUCGGGAUGUGGGGUUUCGUCUAGUCUAUCUGAAGGCGGCUCUAGCUGAAUUCCUCUGGAAAGGGGGACCACAGAAGGUGAAAGUCCUGUAGGCUGUUAAAGAGCUGUCUUUGGGCGAGAGACUGGUACGUAGAGUCGGGUUGUUUGAGAGUACAACCCUAAUCGGGUGAUAAACUUCAUCCAAAGCUAAAUACCAACGAAAGACCGAUAGCAAACAAGUACCGUGAGGGAAAGUUGAAAAGAACUUUGAAAAGAGAGUUAAAAGUACCUGAAACCGCUAAAAGGUAAGCGAUUGGCAUCAUCGGCGUAAUAGGCUCUGGAAUUCAAUUAGUAGGGCUGUAAGGCUCUUGAUGGAGAGUGCUUCGACGGGAGUACCUCUAAAGGGGGCUUGAAAGUUUUACUGGUGUACUUUCUGGGGCUGUACGGUCAGGGUCGUUUCGGCCUUGGGGAAAAAACUGGGCGCUUGGAAGUGCCUAAUAGCAUGGAUAGGCGCCUAGGUAAUACCUUAGGCUGGAGCGUGGGCUUUGAAAGAGGCAUUGGCAGGGGUAUUCUCGGUACGCUGGACGGUAGCAAUACUGCUUCGGUUAUCCUGAACCUGCCACCGAGCCCUGAUAAGAUGGAAUCAAUCGUCCCGUCUUGAAACACGGACCAAGGAGUGUAAAUGAUGUGCGAGUCUUAGGGCGUUAAAACCCGAGGGCGCAAUGAAAGUAAUCAUGCAUCUGAAACCCGCAAGGGACUGCAAGGUGGACCGACAGGCGGUUACAACCGCUUGUUCGAGUAAGAGCACAUCGUUUACGACCCGAAAGGUGGCGAACUAUGCUUGCGUAGGACGAAGCCAGAAGAAAUUCUGGUGGAGGUUCGCAGCGGUAUUGACGUGCAAAUCAUUCGUCAAACGUGAGUAUAGCGGCGAAAGACUAAUCGAGCCGCCUAGUAGCUGGUUCCCUC